CCUACGGGAGGCAGCAGUGGGGAAUCUUAGACAAUGGGGGCAACCCUGAUCUAGCCAUGCCGCGUGAGUGAAGAAGGCCCUAGGGUUGUAAAGCUCUUUCAGCUGGGAAGAUAAUGACGGUACCCGCAGAAGAAGCCCCGGCUAACUCCGUGCCAGCAGCCGCGGUAAU
rnacentral:rRNA from 1 species